rnacentral:rRNA from 1 species
ACUCCUACGGGAGGCAGCAGUAGGGAAUCUUCCACAAUGGGCGAAAGCCUGAUGGAGCAACGCCGCGUGGGUGAAGAAGGUCUUCGGAUCGUAAAACCCUGUUGUUAGAGAAGAAAGUGCGUGAGAGUAACUGUUCACGUUUCGACGGUAUCUAACCAGAAAGCCACGGCUAACUACGUGCCAGCAGCCGCGGUAAUACGUAGGUGGCAAGCGUUAUCCGGAUUUAUUGGGGCGUAAAGGGAACGCAGGCGGUCAUUUAAGUCUGAUGUGAAAGCCUUCGGCUUAACCGGAGUAGUGCAUUGGAAACUGGGAGACUUGAGUGCAGAAGAGGAGAGUGGAACUCCAUGUGUAGCGGUGAAAUGCGUAGAUAUAUGGAAGAACACCAGUGGCGAAAGCGGCUCUCUGGUCUGUAACUGACGCUGAGGUUCGAAAGCGUGGGUAGCAAACAGGAUUAGAUACCCUGGUAGGAUAGCG